CUCUUGUAAAUCAGAGCAUCGAUCUUUUUUCCAUUGUCAAAUGGCACCAAAGGCAGAGAAGAAACCGGCGGAGAAGAAGCCAGCGGAAGAAAAGAAGGCUGAGAAGGCACCGGCGGAGAAGAAGCCGAGAGCAGAGAAGAAGUUGCCCAAGGAUGGCGGCUCCGCUGCUGACAAGAAGAAGAAGCGUACAAAGAAGAGUGUGGAGACCUACAAAAUCUACAUCUUCAAGGUCUUGAAACAGG
rnacentral:misc_RNA from 1 species